CGCUGCGGUUCUGUCAAGAUUAACCACACGGGGAAGAACCGCCGCCAACGGUCUCCGCUUCCACCUUCUUAUGAUCGACCCACUGAGUUCUCAUGUGUGUCGGCAUUUACUGUUGUUGUCUGGAGCAACAUGGAAAGCGUGGAAACCUUUUUAUCCACGCUUCCAGAACUUUUCAGAUUGUUUCUGGUAAAAACAAGAGCGUCUUUAAUGAUCCUCUGUUCUUUUACUCAUGAAAAGCUGAAUGCUGUCUCUGCUGCGCUGCAGGAGCCGGCAGCAAACACACCUUCAUGUGUGUCUUUCCUCGGUGUGUUGAGAGUUCUGAAGCUUCUUGGUGAUGAAACUGUCUCCAGCCCAGCUCCUCCAGAUCACCACUCUGGCACUUGGUUUAGAGACCGUGAUUAUUUUUGUCAUAUUACUGCAGUAUUUCUCUGUAAUUCUAUUAAUGUUCAACUCUGGAAGCCUCCCUCUCUUUCAUAUAGUCUUUCUCUAUCCUGAAAUACAACAAAAAUGCGGAGCAGGUUUCUUUUGAAUCACUACUUUUUAAUGUUCUGGGGAAGAUUGUAUGUCGAUUGUUUCGAUGUUCUUGUAUAAACAACCCGACGUGUGACCUGCUUCAGCCACAUCCGGCACAGUAAGUGAAAAGAAACCUUGCUCACCACGACUUCCCUGGGCUCCAUACUGGCAAAACUGUGACUUGAUUCAUUUUCUGAAAUAAUAAUGAUAACAAUAGAUUUUAUUUAUAGUCUUCUCUCGGCUCAUCAAUAUGAAGACUGAUAUUUUCCUCCACGAUGAGCAGAAGACACCGAGGAGCGCUGAGUGCUAAACCAGGGCAGGCAGCGACGGAGGGUCAGAGGUCAGACGGCCGACCAGGCACCAGGCACCGGGUUCAGGUCCAGGUCUUCAGGUUCCUUCCUAACCAGAGACGGGCGGGAAGCCGCCAGGCUUCCUCCACCCGCCUCCAGCUCCUCCGCCUGCCUGAGCGAGCAGGAACCAGACCGGAGAGAAAGUCUGAGAAGAAGAAAGUCUGGACUCACCUUCUGCAGGCGUCCGGGCGGAGCAGCAGACGGAGGAAGACCAGGAGCUCAGAGACAAAGAAUGAAGAGUGUGAGGAUGGCCGGCGUGGGCGGAGCAACAGAGGCCUGCUGGCAGUGGGCGGAGCAACAGAGGCCUGCUGGCAGUGGGCGGAGCAACAGAGGCCUGCUGGCAGUGGGCGGAGCAACAGAGGCCUGCUGGCAGUGGGCGGAGCAACAGAGUCCGACCGAGAGGAUGAGUUCAGAGUUCCUGCUUCAGAAAACCAAGAGACCUUGACGCCCCAGAGGCAGCAUGUUUUGACGUCUUCAGCAGAGACGUCUUGCUGUCAUGAUCAAACAGGACCGGGCUGGACUCAAAAGCAGACAGAGAGCAGGCUGGCGUUUUCAGACCGUGAAGACAAGUCAGAGGAACCAGCAGGGGGUCAAAGCCGGGUCGUCCAGGACCCGGCGGUGAGAAGCUGGAGCCUCUGGUUCAGCACCGCACAGGGAGGUGAGCCAGGCUGAGACAGCCGCUACCUCCCAGCCUCAGGAGAAAUGGACGCGACAGCUGAGGAUCAUCUGCCUCACUGCCAGCGCUGACGUCUGCAGUUUUCUUCAGGCUGGGUGGAAACAGAGAAACAUUGCGAUCACAUGAAGUAAAUAAAAAUGGGCUCAGUUUUUCUAAAUUAAGGGGAGGUUAUCUCAUAGUCUCUUAUAUGGUGUCUCUCUAUACAGUAUCUUAUGAGGCGAAACAAGCUCCAUGAAAAGAAACGAAGCUCUGCGUUGUUUUUCUGAGUCAGUGGGACGGCAGCCCGCGGCUGAAUGAAAGGUGUUUCUGUUGAAGCCAGUGUGCUGUGAAGAAAGAUCAAGCCGGAGGUGGAAAUCUGUCCGAUACCCACCCAACCACUCCACAGGAAGUCAGCCUGUGUGUUGACCUACAUCUUCCUCCCUCAGCGUGUGCGUGUUUCCGUUGGUGUGUGUCUGAGCGCAGUUCUCGGGCUGCUGCUGCUCUCAGCCUUGUUUCACCGGCUGCACCUGUGGAGCCUGACUGGAGAGCAGCUCGUCAGCCCAGUCAGCCAAUCCUGAGGCCGCCUGAGGGAUUAAAGGGGGCCGGCGGCGGCUCGCCCAGCGGCCCCUCACCUGGUGGCUUCUCGCCCGGCGGCUUCUCGCCCGGCAGCUUUUCUCCCGGCGGUUCCUCCCCCAGCGGUGCCUCGCCCGGCCUUUGGAAACGUCUGGUCUGCUGUGUCUCCGUCCACAUCUGUGUCUCUGAGCCUGAACUGUGGUCUACCUGGCUGGAGCUGACGGGCCAGUUCCUCGGUCCUGUGACCAGGAAACAUCUCUGACCAACAUGCUGGCUCGGAAACUCAGCACAGGUACUGAUGGGUGAAACUAGCUUUCAACUCCUGUAUGCCACUGAACACUGCCCCCUGGUGGUGUGGUUUAUUAUUGAAGGCUCCAGGUGGAGCAGAGCCAGUCAGCUGUUUGAUCCCUCAGUGCUCACAUCUGAACAGGCUGGAGGAGUCCAGGAUCUGAUCGGUCCUGCAGAGACCAGGAUCACACACUGAAGGCUCUGAUCAGACUCUGAUCGGUCCCACAGAGACCAGGAUCACACACUAAAGCAGCGUUCCCCAAUUAAUUUUCCCAAGGGCCAAAGUAUGUGAAAUAUUCCAAGCUAAGGGCCAGGUCCAGUUUUUUUCCCCACUUUGCUAAGAAAAUUUCAUUCAUACAGAUAAAUUGUGUUGCUGCUGUUAUCGCUAUUAUUGUUAUUUAAUUACAAUAUUAUUACAAUGUGGAUUUAACAGUUUUUUUUAAUCAUCCACCAACAAUAAAGGCCUAACAUAAAGAAAGACAAUGAGAGUUGAGCCGGUGGAGUUUAUUUUGAUAUUCAAAAUAUUUACAAAUACAUAAUAUAUAACAGUUGUGGCACUCAACAGAACAAGAACAGUGUUAACUAACCUGACAAAGCUUUGUUUCAAAGUCCUCAGGAACUCAGUGUGAAGGCCGCUCCGU